rnacentral:lncRNA from 13 species
AUGUUUAGACAUAAAAACUUCCAAACAUCUACGAUCUCAAAAUACCUUCCCACGCAGGCUUUGUCAGCAAGCUAUAGGAGGAGACGCUCCAUUGAAACGAAGAGUACAGAUGGAGUCUCACUCUGUCACCCAAGCUGGAGUGGACGCAAUCUUGGCUCACUGCAACCUCCGUCUCCCAGGUUCAAGCAAUUCUCAUGCUUCAGCCUCCCAAGUCACUGGGACUACAGGUGUGUGCAACUAUACCCAGCUAAUUUUUGUAUUUUUAUUAGAGGUAGGGUUUCACCACAUUGACUAGGCUGGUCUUAAACUCCUGACCCCAAAUGAUCUGCCCACCUCGGCCUCCCAAAGUGCUGAGAUUACAGGUGUGAGCCACUGCGCCCAACUAAUUAUUUUAUUUUUAUUUUUUGAGACAGGGUCUUGCUUUGUCCCUCGGGCUGGAGUGCAGUGGUGCAAACAUGGCUCAGUGUAGCUUUGACCCCCCUGGGCUAGAGCAACCCUCCCUUGUUGGCCUCCCAAGUAGCUGGGGCUACAGGCACAUGCCACCACGCCUGACUAUUUCGUUUUUUUUGUGGAGAUGGGGUUUCACUAUGUUGCCCAGGCUGGUCUCGAACUCCUGGGUAAGCAAUUCCCCUGCCUCAGCCUUCCAAAGUGCUGGGAUUACAGGCCUGAGCCACCGCGCCUGGCUUAUCUAACAUUUCUGUUGUUCAUUUUUCCUCUUUCCUCCCUAGAAUAUACAUUUUAGGAGACUAGGGAUCUGUCUGUCAUCUUCACGGUCACAUUCUCAGUCCCUGGAACAUUCCUGCCAAUAGGAGCCACUCAGCGUUUGUUGAAUGUGAGUGAACUAUGCAUGAAGCAUGCUGAUGGAUACCAAGGGACAGUUGAGAACUUUCUAAAUUACAGGCUAGGAAGAAAGGGCUCCCAAGACAUCCAAGAUGGAGAGUGGCUGUCACUAGCUACGAUGGCCACAAAGCCAAGGUGUUGACGAGAAGCCAGAAGCCUCUCCAUGAGCGUGGGUGGAGCCAGCACUGGGUGUCAGAGGCUCAGUGGCCAGAGAUAUCAAUGUUAUGCUUAAGAGUAACUGGCACUCACACUGCCUAUUUUGUGCCGUAAGGAUGAGUAGGCAGAAGAAUAAUUGCUCAACAGAGUAAACAGACAACCUACAGAACGGGAGAAAAUUUCUUGCAGUCUAUCCAUCUGACAAAGGUCUAGUAUCUGGCAUCCAAAAGGAACUUAAAUGAAUUUACAAGAAAAAAAAAUCCCAUUAAAAGGCGGGCAAAGGGACAUAAACAGACACUUUUCAAAACAAGGCAUACAUGAGCUAGGAGCAGUGGCUCAAAACUGUAAUCCCAGCCCUUUGGGAAGCUGAGGUGGUGGAUCGCUUGAGGCCAGGAGUUCAAAACCAGCCUGGCCAACAUGUGAAAACCCAUCUCAACCAAUGAUGCCAAAAAAUUAGCUGGGCAUGAUGGCAUGCACCUGUAGUCCAAGCUACUCAGGAGGCUGAAGCAGGAGAAUUGUUUGAACCCGGGAGACAGAGGUUACAGUGAGCCGAGAUCCUGCCACUGCACUCCAGCCUAGACAACAAAGCAAGACUCAGUCUCAAAAAAAAAAAAUGUGGGGCACGGUGGCUCAUGCAUGUAAUCUCAGCACUUUGGUAGGCUGAGACGUGGAUCACCUGAGGUCAGGAGUUCGAGACCAGCCUGGCCAACAUGGUGAGACCCUAUCUCUAUGAAAAAUACAAAAAUUAGCCAGGUGUGGUGAUGUGCACCUGUAAUCCCAACUACUUCGGAGGUUGGGGCAGGAGAAUCACUUGAACCUGGGAGGCAGAGGUUGCAGUGAGCCAAGAUUGAAUCACUAAACUCCAGCCUGGGUAACAAGAGUGAAACUCCACCUCAAAAAAAAAAAAAAACCAGAAAGAAAGAAAGAAAGAAAGAAAAAGGAAAAGACAUACAUGCAGCCAGCAAGCUUAUGAGAAAAGCUCAACAUCACCGAUCAUUAGAGAAAUGCAGAGAUACCAUCUCACACCAGGCAGAAUGACUAAUACUAAAAAGUCAAAAAAUAACAGAUGCUGGCAAAGCUUCAGAGGAAAAAGAAUACUCAUACACUGUGGGAGUGUAAAUUCAUUCAACCAUUGUGGAAACAAUGUGGUGAUUCUUCAAAGGCCUAAAAACAGAAAUACCAUUCAACCCUACAAUCCCAUUACUGGAUAUAUACCCAAAGAAACAGACAUCGUUCUAUCAUAAAGAAUCAGGCAUGUGUAUGUUCAUUGCAGCCCUAGUCACAAUAGCAAAGAUAUGGAAUCAACCUAAAUGCCCAUCAGUGGUAGAUUGGAUAGAGAAAAUGUGGUACAUAUACACCGUGGAAUAGUAUGCAGGCAUAAAAAAGUGAGAUUAUGUCCUUUGCAGGAACAUGGAUGGAGCUGGAGGCCAUUAUCCUUAGCAAACUAACACAGAAACAGAAAACCAAAUACCACACGUUUUCACUUAUAAGUUGGAGCUAAGUGAUGAGAACACCUGGGCACAUAGAGGGGAACAACAGACACUGAAGCUUAUUGGAGGGUAGAGAGUGGCAGGAGUGAGAGGACCAGGAAGAGUCACUGACCAGUACUAGGCUUAAUACCUGGGUGGUGAAAGACUCUGUAGAGCAAACCCCCAUGACACAAGUUUACUAUAUAUACAAACCUGCACAUGUACCUCUGAACUGAAAAGGUUUUUUAAAAAGAAAAAUAAGUCUUUAAAAAAUUAUUUAUUUAUUUUUUAAAUGACAAAUAAAAGUUUGUCAGUUUUUUAAUAUAUUUAUGAU